GUUUGGCUGAAAGUGGAUAAAGCUCUAUUGUAAGAGACCCCGUGGGGUAGAAAGCAGGAAGAGCUGUGUAGUUUGAAGCAACAAGCCAGAAAGACAUAUCCUAUGUUCCUGGCCUGUGUGUACCUCUGUACCUGGGGACCAUUCAUGUUCCUUCAUGGACCAGAUCACAUCUACUGGCGUGGAGACCAGAGGCCAGAUUUAAGCUUUUCUUGCAGUCUCCGUGACAUUGGGCUGUAUGUGCCUCAUUAGAUGGGAUUCCAUCCAGUGCGUCCCAGGAACCGCCCUGCCAUCUCACUUAAGAUUCUUAGCAACCUGUCAUCCUGGGUCACAGACGCUCGUUCGCUCACUCCAUCGUGGACCAGCAGCUGUCAGCCAGUGCUGCCCACAGCUGUGUUCUCUGCCUCAUGCUGCUUUGCAGACCAUUGAAAGCAUCUCCCGCUCAGUGAGGUAAAAGGAGGGAGUACAAAGGCUUUGGAACUUUGGAGGCUGAAGUAUGCAGGGGCCUCUGUAUUUAUUAUUUGUUUGUUUCGUGGCAGGUCUGGAUUUGAACCCAGGCCCCAUGCAUGCUAAUGGGGAGUGAAGUGCCACAGCCCAGGGUCUUCUUUUGACAGCCUAGUCCGUCCACCUUGUCCACAAGAUGUCCAGGUUAGGCCUGAGCCUAACCUGCUUCCCUUCCCCUUGCCAACUGCUCUCCAUCUAUGAAUGGUCCCCGGGAAUUAGGAAGAAUGGGGUGGGAGUGGGAUUGGCCACUCCUAGGAGUCUGGUGUUUGUUUCAUCUCCUCUAUAAAUGGUGUAAGAAAGAUGUCCCAGCAAGACGUAGUAGCACACAUCUGGGAUACUAGCACUCAAGAGGUAGAGGCAAGGGUUAUCCUGAGCUACAUAGCCUAUCCAAAACCAGUCUG
rnacentral:lncRNA from 1 species